rnacentral:rRNA from 1 species
UGGGGAAUCUUGGACAAUGGGGGAAACCCUGAUCCAGCGAUGCCGCGUGUGAAGAAGGCUUCGGGUUGUAAAGCACUUUAGGUGGGGAAGAAAGGUAGUGAGCGAAUAACUCAUUACUAUGACGGUACCGGCAGAAUAAGCACCGGCUAACU